rnacentral:rRNA from 1 species
UACGUAGGGUGCGAGCGUUUUCCGGAAUUAUUGGGCGUAAAGAGCUCGUAGGCGGUGUGUCACGUCGUCCGUGAAAACCUGCAGCUUAACUGUGGGCGUGCGGUCGAUACGGGCAUCACUGGAGUUCGGCAGGGGAGACUGGAAUUCCUGGUGUAGCGGUGAAAUGCGCAGAUAUCAGGAGGAACACCGGUGGCGAAGGCGGGUCUCUGGGCCGAUACUGACGCUGAGGAGCGAAAGCGUGGGGAGCAAACAGG